AGGAGGAGGAGGAGGAAGAGGAGCGCAGGAAAGGUACCGUCACAGCAUCCAUCGCAGCUAGAAGCCCAUGAGGAGGAGAGAGGCGGGGCAGAAGAGAUGGUGGGAAACCAGGCAACACGUACAAGCAGGAUCAUGUCCGAGACAGUGGACAUGACAGAGAUGAAGAGGUAACCUGCACUGUGAGGGGAGACCGACAGAUGGGCAGAGGGACACUCACCUGACUGGGUGAUCUCCUACUUAACAGCAGUUACUGGCUGUGCAGACACACUGGAUCCUGGAUGGCCGUGAGGAGAUCUGGCCUCCACUGAAUCCUCAUCCCCAUCCCUUUCAAGUGAUAGUUAUUGCAGUCCAGCAAGUGGGAGAACACCAGCUAUUCUGAGACACCUGGGCUAGUGCACUAUGCUGAGUGGAAUGAGGUCACAGCUGGGGAAGCAAGAGGAGGUAGCCAGCAACAUGAGUGAGGAGGUUCACGUACAGAGUUAGGGAAUCAGGACUGCAAGGUAUAGAAGGGAAGCAAUACGUACCACAGAGACGACUGGAAAAUGGAUCAAGGAAAGCAGCAGAUGGUUGGCAGUAAGAUCCAUUUGGACAUGAUUACAGGUUCAGGAAUUGGAUUGGAUCUCCUGAUCUGCAUUCAUUUCCCCAAGUGCCAAAUGGGAAUUUUGUAUUUGUGUCAGUUCAAAAUUCAAAUUCAACUCUGCUAGCUGGAUUUUGUGAUUCCACCUGUGUUACCAUGAAUGGAAAGGUUGAUCACUGACCCCAAUGAUAAAACCUUAAAAUCUGCACUGCAUUCAAGGAUGAUUAGAGCCACUAAUCACACUUUCCCCAAAGUUGUUAGCGUCUUCAGUCCAAACACCCAACUGGAGUUGGUUUGUUUAUGAGUUUCAAUUAAGUCCAUGUUUUCGAUCACAUUUCUCUUUUCUGGCUCCUGCUACCACUGGCUGGUUGAAGUCAGAGGUCUGUAGAAGCACCACUCAGCUGUCCAGGAGCUCCUCUGAUGGGUUUGCCCCUUCCCAAUUUACAAGGAGAACAAAGCCGAUCCUCUGCAGGUUUUUACUGACAGUCAGUCUAUCCAGCUGUCCAGCAACAUACAAUAUGUAUAAACAAGUUGUAUGCUUCUGUGCAUUCAUCUGUAUUGUACAUCAAUGUAUCUGCAGAUUAACUGGGAUCUCCUAGCUAGUUGCCAGUGAAGUUCUCAGUCACCAGGGCUAGACAAUCAUGUACUGAACAGAGUGUUCACUGCAGGGGAGAUAGCUUAUUGUGUAAACUUCCCCUAUGUAGUAUAUAAAUUUGUAGUUUAAAAAAUUCUCAUGUUCUGCAUUUAAUUUAUUCAUUAGUAAAUGACAUUGAAUCUAGAGAUUAACCCUCCCCAGUUUAUAUAAUGACUGUAAACUACAUAACCCGUCAAUCCACUUACUAAAUCAAUUGUUAAUAGAUAAACACGAGACCAGAUUGUGACUGACCCUCAUGCUGCUAUGUAGGAAGGGCAGGAUUCAAGGAGCUGCUUCUUCAUGUGCAUCCCAUGCAAGGGCCGAUGACUGACACAGAAACUGCUCCCUUUAUUCAAUCCCAAGGGUACAUGUUGCCCCCAAGGAGGUGGAGAGGCUAUAGGGCAGGAGGAGUGGGCAAACUACGGCCCACAGGCCACAUCUGGCCCACCAGCUGUUUUAAUCCAGCCUUCGAGCUCCGACUCUGCAUCAAACUGUGGAGCACACCCAGUGCAUUGAGGGAA